rnacentral:lncRNA from 1 species
UGUUUUCAUCUCCUUGUACCCUACCAAUUUCAUAUGCAUCAACCAACUUUCAGUUAAACAAGUGCCCUAAAAUACCCUUUGGGGUGGCCCAGUGGUUUGAGCUUGGGACUUCCUUGUUGGAGGUCUCAAGUUCGAAACCCCUUACCAGCGAAAGCAAGGGUUUGUCUUCUGGGUCGAGGUCGUCGCAUCGGGCUUGCCUAGUGCGGAUUACCUCUCCUAUGUGGUUUGCGAGCUAUUGCAUAAGAGCAUGGGCUGUACCCUGUGCGCACCCAAGGGUAGCGGCUGCGGGUUUCCCUUGUUAUAAAAUUUAAAAAAAAAAUGCAAAAUAUUUGAGUGAAAUCAAAAUGCACAAACUUUAAGCAGCAAUCUUGUCCAAAGAUAAACAAACAAUAUAGGAGGAAAACAACUUACUAAAAGGAAUUGGAGAACAAAUUGACAAGUAGAGCUUCCAAGGCAUAGAAGGGUUCAAUCCAACCCAAAUAAAGAUACACCCAAAACUCCAAAACAAAUACUACAAAAGAAAAGUUAGAAGUCUACCUCAGAAUUCAGAUUCCAGCUCUGCUUCAAGAAAUGAAUGGUAAACAGCUGAGCUCUACACUCAAUUGGGACACGAAGACCAACUAUGUCCUUCCGCUUAGCUCAACCAGUUUUUUGACCCAUUUAUCAAAACUUUAAUUUAAAUUGCUACUCAGAAAUUCACAAAUAUUUUUGGCAAAUUAUUUUCGAGUUUUGUUAUGAAUUUUGGGAUAAAUUUUUAUUUAAAAAAUAUAUAAUUUUAUAUUCAUAAGUUCUAAGAAUUAUUAAAAGUAUUUAUAAGUUUAUAUUAUCAUUUUGUGCUAAACAUGUUUCCUAAAAAGUAAUCACAACAAACAUAAUUAAUAUGAAUUUGAGAAAAAUAUCAUUGAUUUAUAUAGGAAAAAAAUAUUAUUACUACUUAUAAUUGAAAGUGGCUUCAAAAGACAAGUUCGAAUAAAAACUGAUAAAAUAUGUAUAUAACUAUAUAAAUUUUAUACGUCGAACUAGGAUUCUAAAAUUUAGUCCAAAAUUAUAAAUGAUGGAUGUUUUUAUAAAAUAUAAAAAUUUGCUAUAAUUUUUAAAAGUUCUCAAAUAAUAAAAUUUGACCCAAAAUGCUAUUUUUUUCUACUAUUUGAAAAUAUGGAUUAUUUUCCAAAAAUAUAUAGCAAAUAAUGGCAAGUUAUAUGACCAAACAAGAUUUGUCAAUUUUUUUCCCCAAAUAUUUUAUAAAAUAUCUAUGGUCAAACGGAAAUCGUUUGGUAGGGUGUAUUAGGGGUCGGUCCGGUUUGAUUUAAUGUACUAUCAGUUCGUUUUAUUAUUUUUUGAUUUUUAAAUAUGCUAAACCAAUAACUAAUUAAAUCAAUAUGAUAUUUUUCAAAAUCAAUUUUCGAUUUAUCGAUAUUGGUUCUUAACGACACGGUUUAACCAAUACAAAAAUGCUCAUAAGACAAACAUAUAUAUGACUACUCCAAUAAUUUGGUGUGAUAAGACACUAAUGUAACUUUGUAUAAUGCUCACAAAAUAGAAACAUCAUUAGCUAACAUGAAAAUAACUAUACAAGUACAACACAAAUAAAAGAACUAAGAUAAUAGUAUGAAUUGAAGGCUAAAUGGUAAAUGUAGUAAACAGUAAGGUACUGAUAUUAAUAUUAGUAUUUAUGUAGGGGUAAAUGAGUAAAUUACUACAACCUUAAUGAUUAUAUAUCGGUUUACCUAUACAAACAUAUGUUGACCAAAUAAGUCAAUAGCAUUUUUUCGAUUCAAUUUAUUGGUCGGUUCGAUUUUUACACACUCCUAGGGUGCAUGAGAAUAAUAUCAAAUAAAAUGUAUUAAAAAUACUAGCAUUAGUAAUGCAUGUAUUAGUUAUGUUUGCAUUAAUUAUGCAAUAAUUAUUUCUUAUACACAUUGUUUAGUUUGGUGUAUUAAAAAUAAUAUGCAUUACAUAUUUUUUUGUUGUAAAAUACUUUACAAAGGUACACCCUCCACAAUUAUGCGAGAAAAGUUGUAAAAAAAAUAUUUUAAGGGAUGCUUGAGUCUUUAACCAUGCUAAUGCAUGCAUUGAAAUCUCUUGCAUUACUAAUAUCAUGAAUUUUCAUGUAUAUUAUAAUACACACAUCAACCUAUUAAUUAUACAUAAGUUGAAAAUGUACCAAACAAAAUAUUACUAAUAUACAAAAUUAAUACAUGCAUUAUUUCUUUUAAUACACUCUAUCCAACGACUCAGGAGUUAUUUCUUCUAACAAAUUUGUUAUGUUAGUAUGGUUUAACCCAUUAUUCUACGGCCAUGACUAAUUUGGUCUGCUUAUUCAUCAAUCAAAAAUAAAAUCAUAGUUGUAUUAUUAUUAAGUAGUGAUGUAUUUCUUAAAUUUUUAAAUGAGCAAUUUAUAUAUUUUAUAUAAACCAUUUAUGAAAUGGUAUUUUUACUUAUAAAAAGAUAAAGUUGGCUAAAAGAUACCCAUCUUUUCUAAUGUAUCUUUUGGCAGUUUUUGGUCAAAAACAUCUUUAAAUUAUACCCCAAACUUAAAUUACAUUUUUAAAAUAUUUUUUUUUGGCAAAAAAUAUCCUCUAAGUAUUUGAAAGCUUAUAUAAGAAAUCGUCAAAAAACUAUGGGAUCUUACAAAACCAUGAGCAAUUCACGUGACUAUCAACAAAAGUUUUUCUGCAUAAUUUCAUUAUCUGCUAUAAGAAGUUCCUGAAAAAAAUAUUAAAAAUCUUAGACAUCAUUGCUUACCGAAACAAAAAAUGUUUGGAAGGUGUGAGGAUACACAAUCUGUUCUUUUUCUCAUUUAGUAACGAAAAGAAGCUGGAGCUUAAUUAUCAUUACCUUUUUCAAAGCUAAACUGUAUUUAAAUCAAUAAAUUUUUGGGCCAAUAUGAAAUUGAAGUGAUCAAAAUAUUGAUUAUGUCUCGCAUUUGAGUUUCAUUCUACAUUAUUAGAAGCGGAUGUCUCCAACAAACGCCGCUGCUAGCUUAUUCAAUUGAGACGAAACAUAUUUCAACUAAUAAUAUUUUUAAUAUCAGAUAACAUGAAAAAUAAAUGAAAAAAAACUAUCAAAUUAAAAAUUUUUGCAUAAUGCUAAACUCAGUUACCAAAAAAGUUCACGAUAAAUUUUUUGACGUAUCUAAGAAUAAUAAUUACGAAGGAAUAACUUGAUUUUUGUGGGAUCUUUAGUUUUCUACUAAAAGUAGAAGGAUGAAAAUUGUUCACUUUUAUAUACUUGAAGGAUGUUUUCUUCUAAGAAUGAUACUUUAAGGAUAUAGUUUAAGUUUGAGAUACAGUUUAAGGUUGAUUUUGGCCAAAAUCUUUAUCUCUAGCGUACUUCAUGUUGAAAAUAAGAGAAAAAGAAAAAAAUGUUGAAAAUUAAUAUAUCUUUUACAGUUUCAAUGUGAAUGAUCAAUUACUAACUAAUACAUUUCAAAAAAUAUUUUCAAUGAUAUGUAUACUGAUUCUACAAUUAAUGAUAUAGUUGAGCAAACAUUAUGAGAUAAUUAAUGAGUUAUCAAUACAAAUUUAAAUCAAUUUUGUUUGUAUACGGUAAAAGAAAAAUGAAAAUCUAGAGAUUUAAUUUAUUUUAGAAAAAAAAUGUUUUGAGUUUGUUGUUUUAAGAGAAGAUAAAGUGCUAAGUUAUUUUUGAAGCUUCGAUAUACAUGAAAUUAAUAAAUUAAAAAUAUAGUAUUAUUAAAUAUAUGAACUGUUAUGAUAGAGACGUAUGAACACUUUAAUAGGAGUUUUUAAAGAAGCAAUAAUUUAUUUAAUAUUGUGUUUUUAAAGCGAACAAAUUAAAUGAAAAGAAUAAGGUAAAAAGCAAUAAUAAUAAUAAUAAUAAAUAAAUAAACAUAAUACUUAGUGAAGAAAGAGCUGCCACAUCAAUUGCAUAUUGUGUGAAUUUCGUAUAUAUUUAUAUUGGUGGCCAAUAAAAGAUUGAAAAAAAAUUAAAUUAUAUGUGUCGAAUUUGCAAGCAACAAUAAUUUAAUAGAAAGUUCAUUACCCGAGAAAUUAUAAAAAUAGUCUCUUAAAUUUGGAGUAGAUUUAAAGUAAUCCUUUAAUAUAUUGUUAAAUAAUUUUGAUCUUUUAAAUUUAUCAAAAGUAAUAAUGUAUCUUUUAUUUCUGUCAAAUUUACAAUAAACUUUAUUAGUUAAAUUUGACGAAGCAGUAAAUUUGUUUUGUAACACGAAUUAGUAUUUUAAGGUGCAAUUAUCUUUUUUGUUCUACAUCUUUGUACUUUUCUUCAAGUGCAGUUAAUGAAGAUCUUUUUGUGUCGUAAUUUUAACAAAACUUCCUGAUUAAUUUUUAAAAAUAACUAGAGAUAUUCAAUUUUAAUUAGUUCUAAAUGUUUGAAAAAUUUGGUCAAAUAAUGCAACAAUUAGUUCUAAUGUUUGAAAAUUUUGGUCAAAUAAUGCAACAAACGAGACUAUUUUUUUUUUUGAACUCCAGGAUAUAACCCGCCAUCGCUACAAUCUCUGCCCUUCGGGAGAACACUCUGUGGUGAACAUUUUGUGUGGGUAAGCCCCCACUGUGUAAUAGCCUGCAAACCACACAGGGUAUGUAAACCAUACUAGAUAAGCCCUAUGCGACAUGCUUGACUCAGAAGGCAUUGAAGGGGGAUCGAUUUAGGAUCAUCCGUGUGGAUAACCACCCUCCAAACCAACUGAACCAUCUCGAAGGACAAACUAUUUAAAAAAAAAGAAUAAAUCUCUCGAAUUCGAGCUUUGCGUAUGAAAAGCUUUUUUCCAAAUGAGACCCUAAGCGAUAUAGAUUUAAAUUAGCCAAUUUUAAUAUGGAUACUAAUCUUCGAAUGAAAAAUCAUCAUAAAUAAUUUUGUUGGCCCUUCCCCAUUAUUAGUGGAAUUUUUUUUUUUUAGUAAGAUACUAAUAUUUAUGCCAAAAAUGAAAGAAAAACAAAAGUUAUUAGAAAAAUGGCUUGUGUAAAUUUGGAUCUAACAUAGGGAUUUUGACAAAUAUUUAUGAGAGGUGAGUAAAAAAGUGUUAUGUAAAGCCCGGCGCGGAAUCCACGAGUUUCGUGUUUUUGUGUUUUCCUUAUUCUUCAUCAUUUUCCGGUCACAAAAAUCUCCAUUUUUGCCUCAAAAACCCCAUUAUACACUCUUCAACUUGGCUGUAAUACGAAGUUUUCUGGUUCUACAAUGCUCGAAUGGCUCAGUACAGACAAUCGGGUGCUAUAGGUAUUAUAAACAAUGGUGGUGGUGGAGUUGUUCGGAACGGAGUUGCAUCGGAUCAUGUAUCGGUAGGGAUUCGUUCGAAUAAGCAGCAGCAGCAACAGCAGCAGCAAUUGCGGAAUCAUCACCGUCGAUUGAAGUCUACUACUCGCAAGAUCUCGAUUGGUGCUAUAAUCGUUAUUCUAUUCGUUGCCUUUGUUGUUUCCGUCUCUGCUUUCUUCUAUUUCACAUCUCAAAAUAAAGGUUAGUUGAGACCUUGAGCUAUCAUUGACUACGAAUUUUGUCGCAUUUGUUAUCAUUUUUGGGGGAGUGAGAUGGGUAAUGCUAGAUUUUGUUGAGUUUUUGGGUAGUUGGAAGUUUUUUGCAAGUUUAGGAGUUUAGCGUAAUAGGAUCAAAAGGUGAAAUAUCAGCACAACACUCACUGUGAGCUCAUUUUGUGGUAGGCCGGAUUUUUGUUCUUGUGGUUUGUAGCAGGAUGUCGGAUGGGUUGGUGGAAGUGCAAGUUGGCCGGUGGGGAGUAGUUGGAUGGGGUUUGUCCUAGUUCUAUAAUGAGAUUGUCCUUGCUAUAGUGUACUAAAGGGUAUGGUUUGUUCUUGUUGGUUGUGAGUAAAUGUAAAUAUUCUGCUAUUUUUUUGGAGCCUUUUGGAAUGAGAGAUAUAGAAGGUGUUUUGGUGGCAUCUUAACUCCCAAGUCACUCUUUUAAAGCUAAAUGUUUAGUUAAUCUCUUUACUUGGAUAAUGUUGUCCCGAGUAACUAGUGCCGGACAGUUUUUGGAUUUUACUAGCUUUUUAGUUCUUUUGUUAUUAGCAUCCUGUAACUAUGCAUCUCCUUGAUGCCUUCCUAUGUAAUCCAUUACUUCAUUACUUGUUUUAAAAAAAGAAAUGAAAAAGGUAAUUUAAGAGGAUUUUUGCAGAACUCACAAUGCCAAGUUUGACGGUUUGCAAUUUUUGAGUAGUAGAAAUUCGGAGAAUUUUUUAGAAAUGGGAUUUGGUAAUACUGGUGCUUAUCAGCAGUUUCGGUUAGUUUUGGUUUGGUUGUUUGAAAUGUUGAUGAUUUUAGAAAUGGGAAUGCUAAAUUAUGUGCAGGUUUGCAGUUUUAGCUUUUUUGGUUUUCGAGUAGUUGGAGAUCUAGGGUAAUUAUAAACAUGAGAAUGCCAAAUUUUGUGGGUUUCUGUGGCCCUAGUUAGUCUUGGUCUUUAGAUAGUGCAAAUUCUAAAGGAUUCUUGUGGAAAUGGGAGUUCUAAGUUUUGUGAGGUUUACAACAUUUGAAGAUAGUCUUAGUUUUCUUAAUUUUUGACCUGAUGUUAAAUUAAGAUUAUUGGGUAAAAUUAAGAUAGACAAAUAAGAAAAAUAAUUGAAUGUUUUAAGAGUUCACGAUCAACCAAAAAAACAGAAGAUGACUUUUUUUUUUGAGGAUGGUAAACACAGUAGAUGACUUGGAAAAUGGUUGCAACAUGAUUCUGGAAUUGAGAGUUGGCUACUUUGGUAAUAUUUCAUAGUUUAUUUAUUUACCAGAACUGGGGAGUUAACGACUUAUGCCAAAGUGGUAAUGAUAAAAUAAUUUGCCUUUUUCUGCUUUUAUAAGUAGUUUGGUUUUCGGCAGUUGAAACUGAGUUAAACUGAAGUAAGAAGAUUAGUUUUUUUAAUUGGAUAUCGUUUCUUAGUUUAGACUACAUUUAAGUAUCACCGAGUUAGGGAAUGUCACAUUAUGACCUUGUUAUGAGGUUGAAUGUUCACAAUGGACCAGAACGCUCAUCCUCCGGGGUGGCUCAGUUGGAGGUCUCAAGUUCGAAACCCCUUGCUAGUGAAAGCAAGGGGUUUGCCUUCUGGGUCAAGCUCAUCGCUCUAGGCUUGCCUAGUGCGGGGUUACCUCUCCCGUGUGGUCGAGCUAUUGCAUAGGAGCGGGAGUUUUACCCUGUGCGCACCCAAAGGGUAGCGGCUGCGGGUUUCCCUUGUCAUAAAAAAAAAGAGACCAGAACGGUACAAAAAUGCCGAUGAAUUGGUAAGUAAGGGUAAGAACUUACUUAACAAUAUUUGGGCUUAUUAAAUUUUACGGUACAUCUGUAGAUGUUAUUUGUAGAGUAUCUUGUCACGGUUUCUUCACUUUAGCUAUUUCCUUUUUUGACUUAUUUUAAUGUGCUUUUUCCUGAACCAAGGGUCUAUCGGAAACAAUCUUUGUAUUUCUUAAGGUAGGAGUAAGGUAUGCGCACAACUCUACCCUCCGCAGACCCACAUAUAGGAUUAUAUUGGGUAUGUUGUUGUUAUUUGUAGAGUAUGAUGUAUUAAUUGACAGAACUCGUAAGUGAACCAAACGGAUGCUGGAACUACGGAGAAGCACUCUUGAGUGUAAAGAGUUUUAAUUAUUAUGGCGAGUUAAAUAAGUCAAAAAAUCAUAUGCACUGUAAAUUUCGUCACAAGAAAAAUGAAGGUAAAGUAAGAUUACACGGAUUGUGGUUCCCAAGUGCAGUCUAUUCAGAUAUCUAGGCUCAACCUUUAGGAAGAAUGACAUGAUAGAUGAAAAUAUAACACAUAAUUAACAUAGAUGGUUGACAUUGAAGAGUGCUACAGGAGUGGCUUGCUAAUAAAUAUGCAACAAAGUGAAAUGUGAGUUCCAUAGAAUGAAUGUGAGAGUAGUAAUAUUAUGUGGGAGUUGAAGCCUCAGCACGUGCACGGGAUAUAUUAGCUUCUGGGAUGCAUCCCAAAUUGUGUGAGUCAGUAUGUUGAAGUAUCCUGUAUUCCAAGUACUAAUUGAGUGUUACUUUUAAUAAGUAAGAGGUUAGUGUAUAAUUUGAGUUUAUGAGGCAAAGUAUUUAUCUGUGAGCAAAGAACUGGCAAAGUUGGAAUGAUCUAUGAAUUUGGCUUCAUGAUCUAUAAUUUGUGCAUCUCUUGAAACUUGCCCUUUCCAUUUUUAGAAUUUUAGGAUUAAAGAUGACAACAUAAUAAAUGUAAAACUAGAUGUGCCCACAGGUAUUUGGUUUAGUGAUGAGAGUAUAGCAUGUGUGGAUUACACGCACGUGAUGAGUUUGAUUCCCGAGGGUAGAGGGGCGGACCCAUUAUUUGCCAGAUUUCAAAAUGUGCGUUCCCUCGGAGAUUUUUGGGUUAACAAAAAUAAUAAAUAAUCAUAAUGUAAAGCUAGAUGACCCAAUCAACUUGUUAGAGUAAAAAAAAUUUAAAAAAUGGUUGACUAUGGAUGGCAAUUAAAGAAAUAGUGUAAACAAGCAAGGUCUGCAUAUUUAGUUAAAAACAAACAAACAAGCAAGGUCUGCAUAUGAUGUUCCGGUGUGUUCAGCUGUAUCUUUUUUCAUUGUUUUGGACAGUUAAGGCUAAAUCUUCCAGUUCUGUUUUAGAAAUAUAUUCUCCAAUAUUUAGACAGUUUCCCUGUAUGCUGUUGCAGAGUUAGAUAAUAAUCACUUUCAAGAUGAUGGUGAUGUGGAAAAUGAUUCAGAUUUUCUUACAAAUGUGACACGGACACAAGGGAAGGUUCUCCAAUUUGGACAUGGGUCAGUAAAUCAUGGCCGGGAUUCUCGUUAUUGGGAUAAGGAUGACCGGAGAAGGGAUGAUGAUUACAACGAGGAGGAUUUGGAGCGGAAUCCAGUUAGUGACUUGGAUAAGGAGCAAAGUCCUCCAGAUGGGAAGAAAGGUGACAAGAAGUCGUUUUCAAAAGGAUUGGAUCAUGGUGGAAAUGGUUUAUACAACGAAGCUGGACGCGAUGAGUUGAGAAAAUAUGAAGCCAAAUAUCAAGCUUCCUUGGAGAAUGCUGAACACGCACAAGAUGGACAUCAUUUGCCAAACCAGCAAUCGAGUGAUGCUGACAAGGGAAAGAAAAGAGAACUGGUGGAUGCAGAUGAUGGAUAUGAUGAUGGAAUUGACUUAGAAGAUGCACAUACAGACGGAUAUGAUGAUGGUGGUCAUGAAGAUUGGAACCAUACUGUUGCUGCCGAAUCCCAGGACAUACAUGACAGUCAUUUUUUUGAUACACAUGUUGCUGGAAAUAACUAUCAAAAUCAUGCCAAAGAGGCUAGUAAAACAUCCAAGGACUUUUCCAAUAAGGAAUCCUCUUCAAGUUCUCAUCACCAAAAAUCUAACACAAACUCUGGACGUGUCAGCUUCAUUGAUGGUCACCCCUCAAAAAAGUCUUCGUCAGAAAAGCGGCCAGUAUCCAGAAGGAAGCCAAGGAAGCAUGGUAACAUUAUUUCCUAUUUUUGUUGGUGCCCAGUGACUUUAUUUUUAUGAUUAUUUUGUCUUCAGACAAUUUUGUAUUCCUCGAGUCAACUUGAUGUCUGAACUUUUUGAUUUUAACAUGGACAGAGAAAACUGAAGAGAUGUGCUUGGGGACAUUGGAACAUUUUCUUAUGGGAACUUGCUUAAGCGCUUUGAAUAACUUACCUAAUAAAAUUUGCUCCUUAUUACUCUUAGCCUAAAGAAAAGGCACUUUUGAUAUUCAACAUCUACAUGCUGGAUAAUUAAUUUAGAAGUCCGUGUCUGUAAAAAUAGAGACUUGUUGUGGGAUGCAAGUGAACCUGAUUCACCUAUAUAUAUUUAUAUGUAUAAUUGAUGAAGUAAAUAAGAAAGACUAAGACAACCAAAUUCACUAAGUAAUGUAGUAUAUCAUACUUAGGAAUAGUUCUCAUAAUAUAUAACUACAAUUUGAGCUUUCUUGAUGAGGUUGAUGUAGGCUAGUCAUGGAUAUUUUGCUAGAUUAGAGAAAGAUUUUAGUUGAGUCGAUGUAUAUCAUUGGGAAGUUAAACUAAUAAUUGCUACUCGUAUUUAGUUGUGUGCAGUCGAGGAAAAAACGAAAAGAAACAAGAGACAGCUGUUAGCUGAGCAUCUUUAUGUAAAGCAUAUUGAGAUGCUAAUGAUAGUAGGAGGUCAUCAACAGCGGCCUACUCAAGCUGAAAGAGAAAAGAUACUUAGGAUAGCUGCAAAAGGAACUAUGGAUGAAGACCUUAUAGAUUUUGUAGAUUGGAGAAAGGUGCGCUUAUUGGUCUCUUAUCUGCAGACUCAACUCUUCUUGAAUUCACCAGUUCUCAUUUUCGUCAGAGGAUCAUAUAGGCCCUUCAAGUUUAUUGAACUGAAGAGAAGCUCAGGCUACUUAACUCUGAAAGCAGUUCUUUUUUUUUGAUUUGCACCGGGUGUCCGAGUCUCUUUGAGCCCCGACUAAUCCCGGGGGUGCACAGGCCCUCGGCAAGGAGUUUCCCGCAAGUGCACCACGGUUAAUUCAGGUUUUACCCAGUCCGAUGGCCCUCAGAAAUUGUUUGCACCCAGUGGGUUUCGAACUUGAGACCUUGAAAGGGAGCAAACCCCAAGGCUCUAGUCAAUUGCCAGCAGGCCAACCCUGAGGGUUUACUGUUAGGGGUUGUUUGGCAGUGUAUUAGCAAAAAUAAUGCAUGCAUUAACUCUAUGUAUUAGUAGCCCCUUGUUUGGUACACUUUUUCAUGCUAUGUAUAACUAAUGCAAGCAUUAGUUAUACACUCUAUUGUGUAUUAGGAGUGUAUUACUAAUACCAUGGAUUUCUAGGUAUUAGUAAUGCAAAGGAAUUUAAUACAUGCAUUAGCAUGGUUAAAGACCCGAUUACCUCUCUAAAGCGCUUUUACAUCUUUUCCACCAUAAUUGUGAAGGAUAACUUUGUAAUAAUAUUUUUAUACAAUGCAUACUAUUUUUUUGACAAAGGUAACAGUUGUGUAUUAAUCUUCAACACUAAAGGCUGGGAUCCCAAAUUUACAUCAUGGAGCUACAUACAGUUGCGAGUACUCAAAACAAAACAAAACUAGAACCUACUUCAACUUACAAAGAACCUAGGAUAUCUAUAACAACUAUAGGAUCAUCUACAUACUCCAAACUGCACCAAUAGCAAAAAGUGAUUAUGCAAUUCAUUUUGAUCCUGUGUAAGGGACUACUAAUACUCUCAAAGCAUCUCAUAUUUCUUUCCUUCCAUAUGGUCCACCAAAUCACUGCUGGGACAAUUCUCCAUCUGCUUUGGUCUGUCCUGCCACUGCCUUCAGUGUUCCAGCUUUCUAUAGCCUGACUUGCCCUUUGUGGCAUGGUCCAGUUUGUGCCCCUGAAGCUAGUAAAUAAGUGCCACAAUUGUCUGACCACCUUGCAAUGAAGAAACAGAUGGUUGAUUGUCUCUGCCUGUAGCUCACAAAAAAAACAUCUAGGACACAUGUAUUCCCCUCUUCAUUAGAUUCUCCUGUGUUAGUACCGCCUCUUUAACUACCAACCAAGUAAAGACUGCCACCUUAUAUGGAAUUUUGACUUUCCAGAUAAGCUUCCAAGGCAAAAAUCUGAGUUGAGUCCCCAUUUGAUUCAGGUUCUUGUAGGCAGAGCUAACUGUGAAGAUACCUUUGCUGUGAUGAAUCCACGUAAGAGUGUCUUCUCCCUCUUUCAAUCCUCCAAAAUGGUCCAGGGUGCCAUAAAAUUCAGCUAGUCUAUCCACCUCCCAGUCUUGUAUCAUCCUUCUGUAUGUUAAGUUCCAUCCAUGGAUGGACCAAACUUCUUGCACAGUGGCCUCAUGUUGCUGAUUCAACAAGUAGAUGUCUGGAAAGAGCUGUUUGAGGCUGCCAUUUCCCAGUGUUGUAAAAAGCGCAGAAAAGCGUGCUUAAAGCGAGAAGCGAGGCGAGGCGAGCCCCCUGCGCUUUUAUUUCGUGAAGCGAGGCGACAUUGAAAAGGCGCUCGCUUCUACUGUAGAAGCGAGAAGCGCAAGAAAAGCAAAAGCGUAAAAAAAGCGCGCUUAAUUUGAAAAAGCGCUAAUUAGGGUUCUUUUUUAAAAUUGUUUAAAGUUUUUUUUUUUUUUUAAAUUUCUGAAAUCCUUAUGCGAUUGAGCAACACCCCCAGGCCUUAGCAUAAAUAAAAUAAACAAAGUACAAGGAGGGGGACAUAAACCUUACCUCCGGUGUUAUGGUGGUUCAUAGUAGUACUUCCUACUAAGGAAGGUCCACUCUUCCCCAUACUAGAAAGAUGAAACCUAGUAUCUACGCACCUAAAAGAGAGGACUCCUCUCGAUCCAAAGAAACUAAGAAACAUAAAUAUGGGAGACUCUCCCCUUACAUAAGUAAGACAAGAAUAAAACAAGGGAGACUCUCCCCUUACAAAAGUAAGACAAGAAUACAAUCCUAGAAAAUUAAAAUCUAAACAGGAAAUUCAAAUGAGCAGAAGCAAAAUCAGGGAGGUCUCUUGAUUCGUUUCAGUCUCUUUCUUCUGAAGGUUGGAAUUUUUUUUUUUCAAUUAAUAUUACUGCUCUGUUUUUUCCAAUUCUUUUGCUGCUCUGUUUUCUUUUUUAUUUCUGUACAGUGACUGUGAUCAGUGAUGUGUGUAUGCUUGCUGCUCUGUUUGUUUUUUUUUCUUCAAUACAGUGUGACUGCUCUGGUUGCUGCUCUUAAAUCUUAAUAGUCUUUAUUUUUCUUACUUAGUAAAUUUGUUGUUUUGUUACUAAGUGACACUUCUUUUUUGCUUGUAGUAACUAGUGAAGUUUUUAAUUCUUUUAUGAUUUAAUUAUGUUUUUGAUUUUUUGCUUUAUAUGUUAUGACUUAUGAGUAUUAUUGACUAUCUAUUUACUUUUAAUCUAAGAAUAUAUUACCUCUAUUCAGUUAUUUAAUAUUUUUUUAUUUUUAUACUAAAUAUCGCUUUACUUAAAAAAAGCGCGCGCUUCGCUUCUCGCUUCUGUGAAGCGAGCCCUUGUCGCUUUUUUCCGCUUCUCGCUUCCCAAAACAUUGCCAUUUCCUAACCAAUUAUCGUCCCAAAAUAAAAUCUUUCUUCCAUUGUUUAUAUUGAAUCUAGUUCUUUGAAAGAAACAAUGCCACAAAUUUCUGAUUGAUCUCCAUAGGCUAAUACCAUAGGCAGAAGUCACUUCCUUAGUUUUCCAGUGAUCUAUCUUCUCAUACUUGGCCUGAAUCACUCUAACCCAAAGAGCAAUGCAUACUAUUUUUAAUACACCAAACCAAACAAUGCAUAAGAAAUAAUUUAUGCAUAACUAAUACAAGCAUUACUAAUACACUCUAUUGAGCAUUAAUUUUAUACACUUUACCAAACGACCCCUUAGUAAUUUAUAUAAUAAUUAUGAAGUUAGGUAUUAGAGCAUGUUAGUUGUAAAAAAGGUUAGGGAUUAGAGUCUUCCCAAUCUCUAAAAAUCUUCCUCAAAAAGAAAGGUAUUAGAGUAGAAUAUUGUAUGAUAAGUCUCGUCUAAGAAGCAGAGUGAUGUUGCUCAAAAUCUUUUAUUUUAGCCAUCUCACUGUACUCAUUUUCCAGUCUGCUAAUCUGCUAGCUAAAUGUGUGAUUUCUGUCUUGCUCGUCACAAUCAUCAUGGUCUGGUGCUGUAGAGUAUUAGCAGUCUUUCAUGUCAAGUAUAAAACUUCGGAUCUUGACAAGGCAGCAUGCCAGGAUUCAAGCCCUUUUUGUCCCUUGUAUGAGACAUCGUUUCUCAGAUUUCUGGAUUUCCAAACAUCAGGAAAUUUCUGUAAUUUCUUGCAUUUAGCCUAAUAGAAUGAGUUUAUGUACAAAAUCUUGAACAUUAGCCCACCCCACCCCCUUACUCAGGACUUAAAUAAUCAUGCUUUACAUUUGCAGCUUGUGAGAUGAAAAUUUUGAAUGCUAGUGCUCUUCUUGUGGAACCUCUGGAAAGUCGAAAGUUUUCAAGGUUUUCAUUGCAGUACACGGAAACAGAGGACAAACCUUUUGACGAUGCAAACUGGGAACCUAGAUUUUCUGGGCAUCAAAGUCUGGAAGAACGGGAAGAAUCUUUUCUUGCACGCAAUCAAAAAAUAAACUGUGGUUUUGUUCGAGGCCCUGAAGGAACUCCAAGUACCGGAUUUGACUUGGCAGAAGAUGAUGCAAAAUACAUUAGCAGUUGUCACAUUGCUGUAGCUUCAUGCAUCUUCGGAAAUUCAGAUCGCUUGAGAAUACCAGUGGGCAAAAUGGUAUCACCAAAUUCUUCUCUCUUUAGUUUUCGUAAUUUUGGAUGAGAUUACAAUUUUAGAUGUUCUUUUCCAUGGAUGCUAACUCAUGAAACUUUGCCUAUGUGUAUAUUGGUACACAUAGCAAAAUCGUAUUUUCCAUGUCGAUACUAGAAGGAACUCGUGCACACUUUUGUUAAACUGGUCAAAAGCUGACGGGAGAAAGAGAAGAUUUACUAGUAAAGUAGUGUUUAAUCUCCUUUAGAUCCUUAGGAUACACCCUAUCGAGAUGUAUCAUAUAAGAUGUUCAUCUGCUUAAAGGAAAAAUACUUAAGGAAGCUCCUAAUUCGUAUUCUCCAACUUAAAAAGUAAUAAGCCAUUAAUUAAACUCCUAAGAGAAGGAAAUUAAUAAACUCCAAAAAUUGUUCAGUGGUAGAUACAUUAGCCAAUUUAGACCAGCAAAAGACUAAGAGCAAGCAUCUAGUUUUGAGGGAGUGAUUGGAGUUUGAGGUUCCAUCAAAACAUCUUCUAUUCCUCUCAUUCCAAAUAACCCAGAAGGUAGCAGCAGGGAUCUUUAGCCAGAUCCUUUUGAUGGUUUCAUCUCUCCACAAGCUCCACUUCAUAUGUGCUUCUUUUAUGGUCUGUGCCAUGACCCAUUUCAAUCCAAAGAUGCAAUAAAACAUGUAGAUUGACUUUAGAGAGAGAGUGUUCUCCCCAAGUGAAAUACCACGUCCACCUAUCAAACUCUUAUCUUUCUUUUGUCUAUCUUUCCCUUUUCUUUCACCCUGUCAUUUCAACUUCAUCACCCUGCCAGAAUCCUAUCUCCCUUAUUCUUAUCCUCAAGCUUUUUUUCUUUUUUUUUCUACAAAGGAGAUGCUAAUGCUGGACCUUCAAAAGUUGGAGCAGAUAAAGUACUACUUACAGAGAUCCUAAAAUUUCUACGAGCUGUUCUGAUUCCUCUGAACUUAUGUGUCUACACCAAAAUAGGAGAGAUACAUUACAAUUCCAUUUAACCUUAUGAAUGGACUUGGAUGUUUCUUCAAAAUUUCUACUAUUCCUCUCUCUCCAAACUGUCCACCAUAUGCAUGGGGGAUUAAUCUCCACCUAGCCUUCUGCCUCUUGCUGCUCCCCCUAAUCCAACAAUUCAACAGGCAUACUCCACUUAGUUUUCUGUGGGUGAAAAAUAUGGCCCAAAUCUGUGCUGUGGAACUGCAGUGCAAAAACAAAUGAUUGUUGGUCUCUUCUGUCUUCCCACACAGUGAACAUCAAGAUACUAUAGUCAUUCCUUUCUUCUUCAGGACUUCAUGUGUCAGGCAAGCCCUCAUAACCAACCAUUUAAAACAUUUUACCUUGGUAGGUGCUGAGUUUCUCCACAUGUUCCUUCACUAGCUUUACUGGCUUCUGCUAUGCUGGUUGCUAUCCAAUCUAUAGGACAUGCUAACAGUGAAAGCCCCAUCAUCACUGUGAUGUGAUCAGUCAAAUUUAUAUCUCUGCCAAACUAGCUUUCUCAACAAAUAGAGCUGAGAGGAUAUUUUGUUAGCAUCAUAAGCAGUUUUCUCCUUGCUUUGUUCUUCUCUCUCUCUCUUGCUGGCUUUAAACUUUCCUUCAAGAUAGAGUAAUUUCUUAGCCAUGUUAAACACUUGUAUUUUAUUUGGAUCAUGGUCUUUAUGUUCAAGAAUUAACUCAAAACUGAAGAAAAGACCGAAAGAACAUGAAAAGCUCAGAGAGUCACAGCUUGUUCAGUCUUGGUUCUACAGGUUUUCUGAUUUUCUCAGUUUGACCAAUUUUUUCUUUGUGAAAAAUAGACUUGUAGCCCAUCCAGUUGUGUGGCAACUUUGUUAAAUCAGUUGAACUGGUUUGUCAGUACCAUUUUUGAAAGGGAAAAAGGACAAAUAUACCCCCGAACUAUCGUUAGUGGUAUAUAAAUACCCUCCGUCAUACUUUUCGUUCACUAAUACCCCUGCCGUUCAAAAAUCAGUGCACAUUUACCCCUCUCACUAACAUAAAAGUUAUUUGGUACACGUGGCGCAAUCCUACGGCCCUACCCGAUUUGACCAAUUAUUUAACUUAAAAUUCAAAUAUCCGCCCCAUUACCCUUUUAACCCACCCAAUUUACCCAUUUUCUUUUAAGUCAUCUGCUCUACCCAUCAAAGAAAUAAAAUCUGAUUAAUUUUCCAUACUCAUUUAAAGUUGAGUUGACACCGUAAGUUUCAAAUCCAAUAGUUUGUGCAUCAGUAAUUUUAGAAUCAUAUUUACUCAACCACCAUGAGGCCAAGCAGCAAAUCCCCAAUGGCAGCCGCAAAACACCACUACCAGCAUAGCAACAACAACAAUUUGAGCUAAAGUUAGCACAGAUCUCAUCAGAAAAGCAGGAAGAGAAGAGAAGAGAAGUGUGGGGGCAAAAAGAGGUAAAAAUUAGUGGGUGAGUGGAACAUUGGGAAUAGCUAGUGGGUCAACAGAUUCUUGCAGAGAAUAUGUCGUUUAGAUCUCAGAAAUUUCGGUUGGUAUGAGAAGAUGGUGACUGAAAACUAACUCUUGCUGGCGUUGAUUGUCGGAAGUUGAGGAUUUAAUCUAGUUGGUUUUAGUUUUUCAAUUCUUCCUUGAGUUUCACAGUGAGCUUUCAUGGUGGUUGAGGCCUGAUUUUAAUGAAAGUUUUAGAUAAAAGAAGAUGACUUCAGAAAAUGGGUUUAUUUGUGUGGGUAAUGGGUAAAUUAGGUGGGUUAAACGGGUAAUGGGCGGGUAUUUGAAUUUUGGAUUAAAAUAAUUGGUGUUGAGCUGUAGGAUUGCGACACGUGUACUAAAUAAGUCUUCCGUUAGUGGGAGGGGUAAAUGUGCACUGAUUUUUGAACGGCAGGGGUAUUAAUGAACGGAAAGUAUGACGGAGGGUAUUUAUAUACCAUUAACAAUUGUUCGGGGGUAUAUUUGUCCCUUUUCCCUUUUUGAAAACAUUGCUCCUAGCUUAUUACAGUUGAGGUUUAUAAUGCAUCUAGAUCGGAAACAGCCUCUUUCUCUCCCAAGGUAGCAGUAAGGUCUGCGUACGCUCUACCUUCCCAUACCUCAUUUGUGGGAUUACACUGUGUAUGUUGUUGUUGUAGAGUCUUUUUUGGAUGACCUACUUAUCAAAAAAAGAAGGGGAAACAGUCUACUGUGAUUCACCUGUUUCGGUUCUGUCAAUAGCUUUUGUAGUUGUUUAUACGAGAUUUUGAAUUAUUUUACCAAAACUUAUCGUUAGCCGCAUUGUAUGACAUUUUCUUAAUUUAAAUUCCUUUUCCAGGUCUCCCGUAUAUCAAAGAAAAAUGUUUGCUUCGUUAUGUUUGUGGAUGAAGCUACUCUAAAAACUCUUACAGCUGAAGGUAAGAUGCCAGACAGCAUGGGCUUUGUAGGUUUAUGGAAGAUCGUAGUGGUAAAGAAUCUUCCAUUUUCUGAUAUGCGGAGAGUGGGAAAGAUACCAAAGUUAUUGUCUCAUCGACUCUUUACUUCAGCCAGGUAACUGGAAUUACAAUCUUGUAUAGUAUUUGUUUGUGGUAUGUUACUCCUUAUAUUCGACUUGUAUGAUACCAUGCUAUAGCUAGUUAGCACUCAAUAUUCACUUCCAAUUAGGGGUUUACCAAAUCAAAAAAAUAAAAGAAUGAAAGAAGGAAAAAACAAAUUCGUUCUCAAUGCAUUUAGUUGUCUGCACUGGCUUAAUAUUUAACUUAAAGGACAUCAUUUGUAUUUGGUACAUUCUCAGCAUUAGCUUCAUGCUUCCUGCAGUGCAUCAAAAUACCAGUUCCAUUAGCAUCUUUUUUUAUCUAGUCGUAAAAUUGGCGCAUGCUUUUUUCUAAUAUUAGAUUGAUGAUAGCUUCUUAUGAUGGUUUGGUUUUGAGUGGGGAUUAGUCUCACUGUAGAGGCAGAACUUCAAGUAAAUAAUGUCUCUUUUGGGUUUAAUAUUUUUUCACUUUGAGUGGUGCUGCAAUGUGUUGUUUCACCAUUUAAAAGAUAUUGUGUAGACAGAAGUCAACUGAUGAGUGCAAAUGUACUAGUUUCUGCAAAUAAUCAAAAUGCUGAGAUGGUACUGAAUAAGAGACUGUGUUGGAAUUUGGUCUACUUUUGAUCGGCAUUAAUUACCCUUUCCCUUCUGUCUACUGGGGAAUAAACUAUAUUUGAAAAAGUCAAUUAUGUGAACUGGCAAUGCCAUAACUAUGAGUUCAGAGGAUUGCUAGUGCUAAUUUUACAUUAACUCAUUGGUGCUCUUUAACUUUGGUAGCUAUUUUUUUCAGGAUUCCAUAAUUUGCCUGGGUUUCUGCUUUUCCUUGUUUGUGUGGUGGUGUUGGGAAAGAUACAACAUAAAAUGUUAAUGACACACAUCUCUCAGCCUUCAUCUUGCUGCUUGCCUAUCCCUUUUCUUCCCUUUCCAUAUUUAUCCAACAUGUAGUGUAUACCACUGUCAUAUGAUUUACUCCACAUUGCAUGUAAUAGAAUGUAGUAUUAUCUGUGAAUGUAUUAGCAAAAGGUGAACGAUGAGGUCAUCUAACUCAGUAGUGACAACUGUAUUCUAUUGGUGCAAGAUGGACUUUUGAUACAGUCAGUGAUACUCUUGUAAACUGCUCUUUUAUCCUCUCUUUUGGGCCUUACAUUUCUAUGCAUAUAAUUGUUUGCUUGAACUUUUCAAAUUUCUGUUCGUUUAUUAAAAAGUUGAGAUGCUUGAGUGUGAAUUGCUUAUUAAACCACCUCUCCCUGAAGAAAGAGGAGGUGGAAGGGAGAAUUUCUAUCUUAGUAGCUUAUAAUUUUAUUUUAUUUUCCAAAAACAUUUUACGAGCAUUUUCAUUUGAAAU